ACGUAGGGGGCGAGCGUUGUUCGGAAUUACUGGGCGUAAAGGGCAUGUAGGCGGUUAUGUAAGCCUGGCGUGAAAGUCCACAGCUUAACUGUGGGGUUGCGUUGGGAACUAGGUGACUAGAGUUACGGAGAGGGAGCUAGAAUUUCUGGUGUAGGGGUGGAAUCUGUAGAGAUCAGGAAGAUUACCGAUGGCGAAGGCAACCACCUGGUGGAUGACUGACGCUGCGGUGCGAAAGUGUGGGGAUCAAAUGG
rnacentral:rRNA from 1 species